GACGAACGCUGGCGGUGUGCUUAACACAUGCAAGUCGAACGGUAAGGCCCUUUCGGGGGUACACGAGUGGCGAACGGGUGAGUAACACGUGAGUAACCUGCCCUCAUCUCUGGGAUAACAGUCGGAAACGGUUGCUAAUACUGGAUAUGAGCUUGCAAGGCAUCUUGUGGGUUGGAAAGAUUUUUUUUGGUUGGGGAUGGACUCGCGGCCUAUCAGCUUGUUGGUGAGGUAGUGGCUCACCAAGGCUUCGACGGGUAGCCGGCCUGAGAGGGCGACCGGCCACAUUGGGACUGAGAUACGGCCCAAACUCCUACGGGAGGCAGCAGUGGGGAAUAUUGCACAAUGGACGGAAGUCUGAUGCAGCAUCGCCGCGUGCGGGAUGACGGCCUUCGGGUUGUAAACCGCUUUCAAUUGUGACGAAGCUUUUUUGUGACGGUAGCAGUAGAAGAAGCACCGGCUAACUACGUG
rnacentral:rRNA from 1 species